AUACUUACCUGGCAGGGGAAAUACCAUGAUCAAGAAGGUUGUUUUCUUCUGAUGAGGCUCCUGCAUUGCACUUUUCAGUUGGAUUGACCCCUGUGAUUUCCCCAAAUGGGGGAACUCAGAUGCAUAAUUUAUGGUAGUGGAGGACUGUGUUCACACAGUCCCCUA